CCUUGGAACAUGUUUUAAACCCAAAUGAAAUGCAAAUGUCACUUAAAUAUGAACACAUAUGGAUCAUUGUUAAUGUUUGGAUCAUUUUUUUCAUAUCAUGAAUGGUUAUUGACACUUCUCUACUAUUAUGUGGGGGACUUUUAUUUGUGACCUGGAAGUACUUUUUUAGUGUUACUUACGAGACGCUGAUAAUGUUAUGACUUUGCAAAUCAAAUGCCCACUUGUGUUGCAACUUGACAGCGAAAAACAAAGUUUCUGGAGCAGCACAGAAAUGACCGUAUCCAGAUGGUGUGACAAAGGCAUUUCCUAACAGACAUGCUAACUUUCAGUGUUGCUACUUUAAGGUUGGAAUCAACAUGAGGUACCUUCAGCAGGAAGAGAGGCAGGAAUCAUUUGUCCAACAGCUCAGGGACAAGCUACGCUAUUCACAACCCUGUGUAAUAUUCAAUGUAAUUGCAUUGGAGGACUGUUUUAAACUUCAUGUAUUUGUAUUGUUUUAAAGAUUUAGAAAUAAAAGGAAAUGUAAGGUUUAAA